CGGGGCCCCUGGCGGAGAGCGGCCCUGGUGAGCAAGGCGGCUGGGCGGGCGAGCGCGUCGGGGGACGAGCAGAGGAGGAAGAGGACGACGGCGGCGCUCCUCUCUCCUCCGGCCUGCUUCCUCCCUGGGCUCAGCAUCCUCCUCCCUUUCUUCGCGUCGCCGGCUCUGUCCUCCUCCACAUCAACAUUGACAGGAGCAGUGGUGGCCGCCGAUUGGAACAACAUCGGCAACAUGGACGUUAACAGGCAGAGCACGGCCAGAGCACAGCCGACCAACAGCGAGGAUCAAGGAUUCGACAACGGCGAAGCACAGGUGGGUUGGCGGCCUGCCCCAGCCUCAUCUUCAUUGAGAACCCCGCAGGUCCAAACGAGAUUGCGGGGAGAUGAGGUAGACACCUCAGGAAGCCAUGAAGAACUCGGUUCAGUUUGGCUCUGGGUGGUUUCCCUUUCAUUCUUGCAAGGGAUGUCCUUUCGGUCAUGGUUCUCUCUUGUUCGUGUUUGGUUCAAACCUUAUUCAGGUUAAUCUCACACAGGUUAAUCAUACAGUGAUCUAAGAUGGCAGGAGGUGUCUUUUACAUAGGAAACAAUCAGUUUCAUUAUCUGGACACAAGAUGUAUUAUAUGGCUGACAUUAAGCAGUGCUGCAUUAGUGCCUCGCCGGUGUUCCGGGACAAAUGAUUAAAAGGUUCAAACUGCUAUACUUUGAAGCAUGGUUUGCAAUCGGACGCUGAUGUGCUCUCCUUCUUGGCUGGUAGUUCUUCUCACUGGUUGUACACAAAGACACAUAUAGAUGGCCAGUGAACAAUAUUGGAAAGGGAGGAUGAUACAGUCACAACAGGGAUUUGGGACAACUAAAUGUGAAGAAACCUUCAGACAUUGCUAAUUGAUGGAGUGAAAUUGGCAGGGCAGAGAUUUGGGGGAAGCUAAUUGAGCAGCGUGUUCUUCAUAGAAGACAUGAGGACAAGGAAAUGGCCUAGCUGGUGACCAUUGGAGAUGUAAAAUAGCCAAAAUUGUUGUUGUCGUUGGACCAAGGAGAAAGAGGAGCAGCGAUGGGGGUUCCGAUGUGCCAUCGCCGCUACGCCCAUUGCCAGCGCCUAGCAAGAUUUUGGCGUUUGGCAUACGGAGCACGAUCUGCCGCAUUUCAAUGGCAUUGAGACGAGGUGUGUGAGAAUAAUCCAAAGAGGCUGCACUACAUAAUUAAUCUAUGUGAUACUUUAAUCUGCAAGCUCUAGGGGAGGCUACAGGCUCUUCCUCCUCUAACCCAGCCCCUCAUCUGCUCCCACGGUGCUAAAGUAACACAACAAUGCAGAGAUGCACAAAUCCUUUGAGCCGACAUGAGCUGUUGUUGAUUCGCAGCAAAAGGUGUUUUCCUUUGAUUUAUCUUCAUGUGCUUUUUUUUUCAUGUUCUGAAAUUACUUAGCUUCCUAAAUAGGUUUGCACCCAUGGGUUCAGUUCUCCUUGCCAUUGAUGAUGUAAGUGUGUUGUUUCUGGGUCCUGGAAGAGAUUUCUAAAUACAGUGGUUUUAUGGUUUGUAACAUUCCCAAGAAGCUAUAACUCAUCUCUCCCGCAUUUAGUUUAUUUAUCAUUGUACAGAUGUAGACCUGCAGUGAUUACGAUUUAAGAUUUUGGAUCUGUAGUUAAAAAUUUAUUAGUAGUACCUAAUUAUGCUAAAUAAUUAGUAUUUUUAUUUUCUUUACCAGCUAUUCUUUUUUUAUAUUGCCUUGUAUUUGCUUUAUCUGCUAACAUGUGAUAUUCAUAGUUCAUUUUCUUGCUUCUAAAAGUAAUGUUGCAUAUAAUCUGUUUUAGGUUCUUGAUCUGCAACAUAGUUAAUGGUUGAAUGCUAUGAUUAUCCUGUCUAGCUAUUAGCAUUGUAUCACACAAUCUGGUUCAACUCUUUCUGUUUACAUAUGUUUCCCGCUAUUUUCUUUUCGCUUUCUUAGGUUGGUGAUGCAAGCCCUAAUUAGAUUUAUAUUUUCUUUCGACUUUUAUACACCAUGUACGACAAUGCAUUGCCUAUGUAGAUGAUGAUUUCGGUGUUCCUUCCUUGGUUUUGUUGCUCUUGGCAGAAUCCACAAAUGUUAGUUGCUAUAAUAUAUUUUCUCCCGUUUCCCUGGUUGUAUAUAAAUUUUGUUUCUUUGUUUGUAAUUUAUUGUAGUUCGCUGUGUUUUGUAAAACCUAAAAAGAUUUUUUUAUUGUUCUUCACCUACACACGAGUCCCACAUUGACGAGAAGUUUUGCAUGUGUACCUCAGUAUGCCACUGCCUCGAUGAUAUCAUCUGAAGAUGUUAGAUACCUAUUUUUCGUGCAUUUUCCUUGUAUUUUUUAGUGCAUUCUAUAUAGUGAAAGCAAUUAUGUUUACUUUCUCUCUUUGAAACUAUGCUUUGGCAUGCUACUGCCUUGAUGAUAUCAUCUGCAGAUUUGAUCCCCCCGCCAUUUUCAUAUAUUUUCCAAUUCUUAUAUAUGGUGGAAUUUCCAAAAUUAAAUAGUAGCUAAUAGUUUAACUAACAAAGAUACCACUUGAAGAUACCUUACUUAGAAGUGUAUUUUCUUCAUAGUUUUAGUUCAGUUGUAGAUUCGGUUAUGUUUGUACUUGCAAGAAUGCAUGUUUCUUUCUUCCCAUAACAUGAAACAUUGCUAUAUAUAUUUUUUUAGUUGCUUCUGGAUGGUGGUGAGCAGUUCCAAGAUGCACAUGAGCUCCUGCAAUCCUGCUUCUUUUACUGAACACCUUCUGAUAUUUCUUAGACUCCACUUUGUGACAUAGGUUUGCUAGGUAAAUAUUAUGCAUCUGUGGCUUAGGAUAAAAAAAAUCAUGAUAUAUCAACUAUCUAAUAAGUAGCUCAUUCUUUUUUUACUCUAAAUGCAACUAUCUAAUUAUUUUUUAGUUGAUGAAGAAAAUUUAUGGAUCUCAAUUUUACCUGUAAGCCUCAUUAGAUCCAUUCACUGGGUGAGGUGUUCUUCUAGCUUUUUAAUUCUAUUUUUGCAGUAUAGGGUUUUUGUUGACUGCUCUCAACGGAGUGGUAACUGCUGAAGGAAAAAAAUUGAUAUCUCAGGCUAAGUCUAGGUGCCUGUGAUAAUACAUGUUUUUAUAGGAAAACCAUAGGUGAAUGUGUGGUUUACCAGUUGGAGCUAAUUACUAAUCUAUUAGGCACAUCAUCAAUAGAUACUUUUUCUUUGGCGUGAUUCGUUAUAAUCGAUAGAGUGAUGCCAUGUGAAAAACAAAAUAAACCGUUACAACUCUCGAAUGCCUCUGUUAUUUGCUUUCACAUUUGGAUAUUCAAAAUUAUAUGGCAUGAGGUUUUGUGGGCAGCAUGAGGAGAUACUCUUUUAUAGAAAAACAAACCCCAGACUAUUCGACACUUAAGCUCUUACGUAAACUUCUGUCAUUUUUACCUUAAUGAUGAACGAACAACCGAGCAGGUAGAAAGUAUGAAUAAAUAAUCAGCUCCAUGCUACUGUUUUGCUUCAGAGAAUCAUGCAUUCAAGAUUCAGUUGUUAUAGCAGUCUAGAAGUGGAAUUACCAGCCUUUUAGCCAUGACAUUCUAUAUUUCGUAACUUGUUUCAGUGCACUAUUUUAGUACGGAAAAUUUAGCUCUUGUACCACUGCAAUUUUAGUUUCAUACCAGACUAUAUUUUCACAUAAUAUAUGUAAUAAAGGAACGAACUGAUGGUUUCCUAUUUUUGUAAAUAUGUGUCGCUUUCUGUUUGAUGAAAUUUGUGUGGUUUGUAGACCAUUCUUCUGUUGGUGGCAAGUGAAGCUUUUUCUUUAUAGAGUUGGCAAGUAUAAACUGAUUGUGAGGGUGCAUGUGCUGAAUAGUGUUCCCACUCUUCUUCGGCUUCAAGGAUUCCCCAAUGAUAGGCGCGCACAAAACUUUGUUCUUCGAUGUUGGAUAUCGCAGACAGAUGUCAGUUGGACUUUCCUAGAUCUGCAUCCUAGCUUAGGAGAGCUUCCACAGUUGGCAGUUGUAGGCUGAAUCGACAACUUGUGCCAAAUUCAGAAGAUUCUACAUGGUGUCCCUAUUUAGUAUUCCUGGGAAUUUAUGCUUGUGAUUCAUAAUUUUAUACAUCAUACAUUAAAAUUGUAUCCGCUCAAAGGGACUCUGGCCGGAGAGGUGAAUUCUUAAAUACUAAGUUCAUUGUUUCUAGAUUAUUUGGACUGGAUCUAUGUAUGCUUAAUUGUCACAUCGGGUUGAUCCGAACCACCCCAUCAUUCACUAAUCUUUCAACACAGGUAAUUUAUUGUAUGUCUCAUGAUUAUUUGUUCUCAAUCAGUCUACCAUGAUUCCAACAGAUAAGAGGUUAUGCACAAAAGUUGAGCGAGAGGAAGAAAACAUACAACAAAAUUUUCCAACGGUGAUGAAUUUCGGUGAUGCGAGUUGGAGGUGAAAGAUAUUUCUAUGUUGUUUGUGUACGCCGGAGUCUGAAAAUCGUGUUGAUUCCUUUCAUUGGUAUCCUGUAAAUAUGACCUAAGUGUCCGUUGCGGCGAUGUUUCUAUGCACCUUAUGUGCAUGUUGCGCCAUGCUCGAUUCAUGUGUUUGCCAUUUUGAUCCAUUUUGCUUUAGGCAAAGCCUUUUUCUAAAUAAAAAAUUGUUUUGUUUUCGAGCAUGACCUUAUA